ensembl:misc_RNA Metazoa_SRP Metazoan signal recognition particle RNA
GCCAGGUGCAGUGGCGCGUGCCUGUAGUCCCAGCUACUUGGGAGGCUGAGGUGGGAGGAUCGCUUGAGCCCAGGAGUUCUGGGCUGUAGUGCCUACACUGACCAGGUGUUCCCUACUAAGUUUGGCAUCAGUAUGGUGACCUCCUGGGAGUGGGGGACCACCAGGUUACCUAAGGACGGGUGAAUUGGCCCAGGUCAGAAACAGAGCAAGUCAAAACUCCCAUGCUGAUCAGUAGUGGAAUCGGGCCUGUGAAUAGGCACUGCACUCCAGCCUGGGCAAUGUAGCGAGACCCCACCUCUU